GACGAACGCUGGCGGCGUGCUUAACACAUGCAAGUCGAACGGAAAGGCCCUUCUUUUGUGGGGUGCUCGUGUGGCGAACGUGUGUGUAACACGUGUGUAACCUGCCCUUGACUUUGGUAUAACUUCAGGAAACUGGGGCUUAUACCGGAUAGGAUCUCCUUCUGCAUGGUGGGUUUUGGAGAUUUUCGGCGGUUGGGGAUGGACUCGCGGCUUCUCAGCUUGUUGGUGGGGUAGUGGCUUACCAAGGCUUUGACGGGUCGCCGGCCUGAGAGGGUGACCGGCAACAUGGGGACUGGGAUACGGCCCGAACUCCUACGGGAGGAAGAAGUGGGGAAUAUUGAAAAAGGGGCGGAGGCCGGAGGAAGCAACGCCGGGGGGGGGAGGACGGCCUUGGGGUGGUAAACCGCUUUCGCCUGUGACGAAGCGUGAGUGACGGUAAUGGGUAAAGAAGCACCGGCUAACUACGUG
rnacentral:rRNA from 1 species